rnacentral:lncRNA from 1 species
GACUGCCCCGCGCCCUCAGUGAUAACCCGCUGGGGUCUCCUUCUAAUCUCUGGGAGCUUUGUUAUUUUGCUCUUUGGGUCCGUGCUGCCUUUAUGAGCUGUAACACCACGAGAGUUUGCAGCUUCUCUCUUGCGGCCAGCGAGACCACGAACCCACUGGGAAGAACGAACAACUCCAGACGCACCGCCUUAAGAGCUGUAAUACUCACCGGGAAGGUGUGUAGCUUCACUUCUAAAGCCGGGAGAUCACGAACCCACCACAAGGAAGAAACUUCAAACACAUCCGAACAUCAGAAGGAACAAACCCUGGACACACUGCCUUUAAGAAGUGUAACACUCACCGCGAGGUGCCAGAUGCACAACAGGUCUCAGUACAUAUUUGUUGAAAAUGAAUAAAUGAAAGAGAUGGAAGAGAGGAGGAAAGAACAGAGGGGAAGAGAAAGUGAGUGAGAAUGAACCAAAUAUUCUCUAUAGGAACCCUAGAAGAGAGCCAGAGCCACCCUGAAAGAAUGGUCAGGAGAAGCACCCGAUCUGCCUGUUUUUAGGAAACCAGCCGGCUCCAUCUCUGGUUUCCAUGCCUUUCUGAGCGCACAGAUCUAACCAGGUUUCAAAUCCAGCCACUCAAGGAGAAGCUGCAGCCUUUCCCCUUAGUUCUGAAAUGUGUAGUGACCCAGGAUCUGCAACCAGUGAGGGAUGCCACUGACACAAGAAUCUACCAGGGACAGCUGCAAACUGAACAUCAACACUACCAGCCCCACAAGUGCCCCAGUCUAACUCCAGACAGUACAGGGGCUUGCUCAUUUUAACAUAGCAAGUCCUCAGUGGGAGCACAGUUUCCUCUGGGUGAUCAAACGUGACAAUUUCAGGUCACUCUCAGAGCUGAAGCAGGAAGAGGGUAGGAGGGGACACUGCAAUGUGGAAGCUGAGAAUCUCCCACAGAGCCCCAUUUUAUUCCAGCAUCAGCUUUUUUGCCCUUCCCUUGAGCCAUAACACACCUCAGAAUAGCUAAGAGAAGGGAGAAGUGGCAGUCACACUGAAGACACAAGAGGAUUGUCAUCUAACUGGCUCCAGGCCUCGCUGCUCUGCUAAUCGUUAAAUCAAGGCCCCUCCACAACCCCUUCCUGCCAUCUGUAGGUUAAGUCCAUAGGCCUCUGAUAGCAUUUCUCAGGUGCCAACAGCCCAACAGCCUUCUAUAUGCCUUCUCAAUAUGUGAUUUUCUCAACAAUCACCAUCUGCUUUAGUAGAGGCAACCAGUGGUGUUUUUAUUUUACAGAUGGGGAGCUGAGAGGUUAAAUGUCUGAUCCAAGAUCACAAGCAAGUAAGUGGGAUCUGGUGUACCCUCAGGAUGCUGUCUCUGAAACCCUGUGUCCUGUGAAUUUCUCUCCCCAGACACCCCCUUCCACUUCCUGCGCUCCCCUACCGUGCUGCAAGCACCCCCAUGGCAGAUUUUCAGCCUUCAGUCGGUCUCUUAGGCCAGACCCUGCAUUAUCCUGUGAUCCCCAGCUCAUGGCACAGUGUCUGACUCAUACAAGGUGUUCAAUAAAUAUUUGUUGAAUAAAUUGAACUAAACCCGAGACUUCUGACUCUAAACUCAUAGUACUGGAAUCUGUUUCAGCCAAGUCACUGGCUGCAAGAAGUAUUCUAUAUUUACUGAAGAUUACUUAGAAAACAAUGACAAAUAUUUUAAAAAUGUAAAGAGGCAAAUCUCAUGAUGCAGAGAUAAUUACAAGCUACAUUUUGAGAUAUUUCCUCCAGCUUUUCUCCCAUGAAUAUAUGUUCUAUAGACUGAGAUUAUAAAUGAUUUAACAUUGGACUCUAAACAUCUUUCCUCAUCAUUUUUUUUUUAAAUCCUCAUUUCC